ANAGUUUGAUUCUGGCUCAGAAUGAACGCUGGCGGUAUGCUUUACACAUGCAAGUCGUACGAGAGUUUUGAACUCAAGUGGCGGACGGGUGAGUAACACGUAAGAAUUUGCCUUUAGGAGGGGGACAACAACUGGAAACGGUUGCUAAUACCCCAUAUGCUUUCGAGUGAAACGGUUUUUCCGCCUAAAGAGAAGCUUGCGGCUGAUUAGCUUGUUGGUAAGGUAAUGGCUUACCAAGGCGACGAUCAGUAUCUGGUUUGAGAGGACGAUCAGACACACUGGAACUGAGACACGGUCCAGACUCCUACGGGAGGCAGCAGUGGGGAAUUUUCCGCAAUGGGCGAAAGCCUGACGGAGCAAUACCGCGUGAGGGAUGAAUGCCUAUGGGUUGUAAACCUCUUUUUUCAGGGAGGAAUCAAUGACGUUACCUGAAGAAUAAGCAUCGGCUAACUCCGUGCCAGCAGCCGCGGUAAGACGGAGGAUGCAAGUGUUAUCCGGAAUCACUGGGCGUAAAGCGUCUGUAGGUGGUUUGAUAAGUCAACUGUUAAAUCUUGAGGCUCAACCUCAAAACCGCAGUCGAAACUAUUAGACUAGAGUAUAGUAGGGGUAAAGGGAAUUUCCAGUGGAGCGGUGAGAUGCGUAGAGAUUGGAAAGAACACCGAUGGCGAAGGCACUUUACUGGGCUAUUACUAACACUGAGAGACGAAAGCUAGGGUAGCAAAUGGGAUUAGAUACCCCAGUAGUCCUAGCUGUAAACAAUG
rnacentral:rRNA from 1 species